CCACCCUCAGAACAGCUGGGUCACCCUCAUGGACUGCCACCCUCAGAACAGCUGGGUCACCCUCAUGGACUGCCACCCUCAGAACAGCUGGGUCACCCUCAUGGACUGCCACCCUCAGAACAGCUGGGUCACCUCAUGGACUGCCAUCCUCAGAACAGCUGGGUCACCCUUGUGAACUGCCACCCUCAGAACAGCUGGGUCACCCUCGUGAACUGCCACCCUCAGAACAGCUGGGUCACCCUCGUGGACUGCCACCCUCAGAACAGCUGGGUCACCUCAUGGACUGCCACCACCAUGGAUGGUCUGGUGAGUUGGACCUGGUAACGAACGCUAAGCACUCAGCCAACAUGACGGCGCUGACUCCCUGCCGCCUCUACAUCCUGUCCACCCAGGCCUACCAGACCUUGCUGCAGCGCUUCCCUAUGGCUGGAAGCCCACAUCAGCCCGCGUGGCCCUUCACCACCUCACAGCCUAGUCCAACCCCAUAGCCAUUGUGAGUCAUCCUUCAAGUCCACACUGAAACACAGAUCACACAAUGGGUACAAAUUAAACCUUUCUGAUUCGAAACACUUCAAGGUGCAUUUUGU
rnacentral:lncRNA from 1 species